UACGGAGGAUCCGAGCGUUAUCCGGAUUUAUUGGGUUUAAAGGGAGCGUAGGCGGGUUGUUAAGUCAGUUGUGAAAGUUUGCGGCUCAACCGUAAAAUUGCAGUUGAUACUGGCAUCCUUGAGUGCAGUAGAGGUAGGCGGAAUUCGUGGUGUAGCGGUGAAAUGCUUAGAUAUCACGAAGAACUCCGAUUGCGAAGGCAGCCUGCUGGACUGUAACUGACGCUGAUGCUCGAAAGUGUGGGUAUCAAACAGG
rnacentral:rRNA from 1 species